AGGCAGCUAGUUUAAUUAAAACAUUUGAUUUCGGCUCAAAAACUUGUGGUUCAACCCCAUAGCCGCUUA
rnacentral:tRNA from 1 species